GUUAAACGGCCGCGGUAUUUUGACCGUGCAAAGGUAGCGCAAUCACUUGUCUUUUAAAUGAAGACCUGUAUGAAUGGUGGAACGAGGGCCUAACUGUCUCCCUUUUCAAGUCAAUGAAAUUGAUCUAUCCGUGCAGAAGCGGGUAUAUAAAUACAAGACGAGGAGACCCUUUGGAGCUUAAGAUUAAAAAUCAACUAUGUUAAUUAUUCCCCUAAAUAAAACUAAGUAGCAACUGAUUGUAAUCUUCGGUUGGGGCGACCACGGAAUAAAAACAAACUUCCACAUGGACUGAGGACUAACCUUAAAACCAAGAAAGACAUUUCUAAGUCACAGAAUUUCUGACCACACAGAUCCGGCACACCGCCGAUCAAUGGACCAAGUUACCCUAGGGAUAACAGCGCAAUCCCCUUUUAGAGUUCCUAUCGACAAGGGGGUUUACGACCUCGAUGUUGGAUCAGGACAUCCUAAUGGUGCAGC
rnacentral:rRNA from 1 species